rnacentral:rRNA from 1 species
UACGUAGGGGCUAGCGUUGUCCGGAAUCAUUGGGCGUAAAACGCGCGUAGGCGGCCGGUAAGUCCGCUGUAAAAGUCCAGGGCUCAACCCUCGAAUGCCGGUGGAUACUGUCGGGCUAGAGUGCGGAAGAGGCGAGUGGAAUUCCUGGUGUAGCGGUGAAAUGCGCAGAUAUCAGGAGGAACACCAAUUGCGAAGGCAGCUCGCUGGGACGUUACUGACGCUGAGACGCGAAAGCGUGGGGAGCAAACAGG